rnacentral:rRNA from 1 species
CGAGUUAUCUGAACCUUCGGGGAACGAUAACGGCGUCGAGCGGCGGACGGGUGAGUAAUGCCUAGGAAAUUGCCCUGAUGUGGGGGAUAACCAUUGGAAACGAUGGCUAAUACCGCAUGAUGCCUACGGGCCAAAGAGGGGGACCUUCGGGCCUCUCGCGUCAGGAUAUGCCUAGGUGGGAUUAGCUAGUUGGUGAGGUAAGGGCUCACCAAGGCGACGAUCCCUAGCUGGUCUGAGAGGAUGAUCAGCCACACUGGAACUGAGACACGGUCCAGACUCCUACGGGAGGCAGCAGUGGGGAAUAUUGCACAAUGGGCGCAAGCCUGAUGCAGCCAUGCCGCGUGUGUGAAGAAGGCCUUCGGGUUGUAAAGCACUUUCAGUCGUGAGGAAGGUAGUGUAGUUAAUAGCUGCAUUAUUUGACGUUAGCGACAGAAGAAGCACCGGCUAACUCCGUGCCAGCAGCCGCGGUAAUACGGAGGGUGCGAGCGUUAAUCGGAAUUACUGGGCGUAAAGCGCAUGCAGGUGGUUUGUUAAGUCAGAUGUGAAAGCCCGGGGCUCAACCUCGGAAUUGCAUUUGAAACUGGCAGACUAGAGUACUGUAGAGGGGGGUAGAAUUUCAGGUGUAGCGGUGAAAUGCGUAGAGAUCUGAAGGAAUACCGGUGGCGAAGGCGGCCCCCUGGACAGAUACUGACACUCAGAUGCGAAAGCGUGGGGAGCAAACAGGAUUAGAUACCCUGGUAGUCCACGCCGUAAACGAUGUCUACUUGGAGGUUGUGGCCUUGAGCCGUGGCUUUCGGAGCUAACGCGUUAAGUAGACCGCCUGGGGAGUACGGUCGCAAGAUUAAAACUCAAAUGAAUUGACGGGGGCCCGCACAAGCGGUGGAGCAUGUGGUUUAAUUCGAUGCAACGCGAAGAACCUUACCUACUCUUGACAUCCAGAGAACUUUCCAGAGAUGGAUUGGUGCCUUCGGGAACUCUGAGACAGGUGCUGCAUGGCUGUCGUCAGCUCGUGUUGUGAAAUGUUGGGUUAAGUCCCGCAACGAGCGCAACCCUUAUCCUUGUUUGCCAGCGAGUAAUGUCGGGAACUCCAGGGAGACUGCCGGUGAUAAACCGGAGGAAGGUGGGGACGACGUCAAGUCAUCAUGGCCCUUACGAGUAGGGCUACACACGUGCUACAAUGGCGCAUACAGAGGGCGGCCAACUUGCGAAAGUGAGCGAAUCCCAAAAAGUGCGUCGUAGUCCGGAUUGGAGUCUGCAACUCGACUCCAUGAAGUCGGAAUCGCUAGUAAUCGUGGAUCAGAAUGCCACGGUGAAUACGUUCCCGGGCCUUGUACACACCGCCCGUCACACCAUGGGAGUGGGCUGCAAAAGAAGUAGGUAGUUUAACCUUCGGGGGGACG